rnacentral:rRNA from 1 species
GGAAUCUUGCGCAAUGGGCGAAAGCCUGACGCAGCCAUGCCGCGUGGAUGAUGAAGGUCUUAGGAUUGUAAAAUCCUUUCACCGGGGACGAUAAUGACGGUACCCGGAGAAGAAGCCCCGGCUAACUUCGUGCCAGCAGCCGCGGUAAUACGAAGGGGGCUAGCGUUGCUCGGAAUUACUGGGCGUAAAGGGCGCGUAGGCGGACAGUUUAGUUGGGGGUGAAAGCCCAGGGCUCAACCCUGGAAAUGCCUUCAAUACUGGCUGUCUUGAGUACGGGAGAGGUGAGUGGAACUCCGAGUGUAGAGGUGAAAUUCGUAGAUAUUCGGAAGAACACCAGUGGCGAAGGCGACUCACUGGCCCGUUACUGACGCUGAGGCGCGAAAGCGUGGGGAGCAAAC